GAUGAACGCUGGCGGCGUGCCUAAUACAUGCAAGUCGAGCGAACAGAUGAGGAGCUUGCUCCUCUGACGUUAGCGGCGGACGGGUGAGUAACACGUGGAUAACCUACCUAUAAGACUUGGAUAACUUCGGGAAACCGGAGCUAAUACCGGAUAAUAUAUUUAACCGCAUGGUUCAAUAGUGAAAGACGGUUUUGCUGUCACUUAUAGAUGGAUCCGCGCCGCAUUAGCUAGUUGGUAAGGUAACGGCUUACCAAGGCAACGAUGCGUAGCCGACCUGAGAGGGUGAACGGCGACACUGGAACUGAAACACGGUCCAGACUCCUACGGGAGGCAGAAGUAGGGAAUCUUCCGAAAUGGGCGAAAGACUGAAGGAGCAACGCCGCGUGAGUGAUGAAGGUCUUCGGAUCGUAAAACUCUGUUAUUAGGGAAGAACAAAUGUGUAAGUAACGAUGCACGUCUUGACGGUACCUAAUCAGAAAGCCACGGCUAACUACGUG
rnacentral:rRNA from 1 species